rnacentral:rRNA from 1 species
UAGGGAAUCUUCCACAAUGGACGCAAGUCUGAUGGAGCAACGCCGCGUGAGUGAAGAAGGUUUUCGGACCGUAAAGCUCUGUUGUUGGUGAAGAAGGAUAGAGGUAGUAACUGGCCUUUAUUUGACGGUAAUCAACCAGAAAGUCACGGCUAACUACGUGCCAGCAGCCGCGGUAAUACGUAGGUGGCAAGCGUUGUCCGGAUUUAUUGGGCGUAAAGCGAGCGCAGGCGGAAGAAUAAGUCUGAUGUGAAAGCCCUCGGCUUAACCGAGGAAUUGCAUCGGAAACUGUUUUCUUGAGUGCAGAAGAGGAGAGUAGAACUCCAUGUGUAGCGGUGGAAUGCGUAGAUAUAUGGAAGAAUACCAGUGGCGAAGGCGGCUCUCUGGUCUGCAACUGACGCUGAGGCUCGAAAGCAUGGGUAGCGAACAGGAUUAGAUACCCUGGUAGUCCAUGCCGUAAACGAUGAGUGCUAAGUGUUGGGAGGCUUCCGCCUCUCAGUGCUGCAGCUAACGCAUUAAGCACUCCGCCUGGGGGAGUACGACCGCAAGGUUGAAACUCAAAGUGAAUUGACGGGGUC